GACGAACGCUGGCGGCGUGCUUAACACAUGCAAGUCGAGCGGUAAGGCCCUUUCGGGGGUACACGAGCGGCGAACGGGUGAGUAACACGUGGGUGACCUGCCCUCAGCUCUGGGAUAAGCCUGGGAAACCGGGUCUAAUACCGGAUAUGACUCCAUGACGCAUGUUGUGGGGUGGAAAGCCUUGUGCGGCUGAGGAUGGGCCCGCGGCCUAUCAGCUUGUUGGUGGGGUGAUGGCCUACCAAGGCGACGACGGGUAGCCGGCCUGAGAGGGCGACCGGCCACACUGGGACUGAGACACGGCCCAGACUCCUACGGGAGGCAGCAGUGGGGAAUCUUGCGCAAUGGGCGAAAGCCUGACCCAGCGACGCCGCGUGGGGAUGAAGGCC
rnacentral:rRNA from 1 species